GGUCUGGUGGUGUAGUUGGAAACAUGUCCUCUUCAUGUGUAGUUUUUUCCGUUCUGCAUAGUUUUCAGAGGAAGUUCCUUGUUCGAGUCGAGGUCAGGCCG